rnacentral:lncRNA from 1 species
UGAUAAGUGCCAAAAAGUAGUAAUUUUACAUAUAUAAUUUAUGCACUUAUUGACUUAUUUUGCAAGAUUUGUGUAUAUAAGUCCCCAAGAACUUGUACAUAUACGUGUUGAUCUAAUUUUGGUUAGUUUAUCUUUAAUCCCAAUCAUUUUGAUAGGUUUUUGUACUUAAAGUUGAAUUUUUGAUGAAGAAUUAAUGUUUGAACUGAUAUAUGCUGGCUGGGCUAGAGAAAGCCAGAGAAAGCUAGAAAUUUGGUUGAGUUGGCAGAGAGUUUCUGGCUUAAGCCAGAGAAAGCUACAGACCCUGUUGUAUUGGCAAAACAUUUCUGGCUCCAGCCAGAGAAAGCCAGAAGAGCUGGGAGGUGACUCAGAGGACACGUGUUAGCAAACCCAGUUAUGAAGUAAGGUAGCUGGCUGAGCCAGCUAUAGCUGGCUGGGCCAGCUUAAAAAUUCAGUUUCACUAUAAAUAGACACCAGAUGCAGAAAAACAGAAGAUAUACCAUUCCCACCACUCAAAUUCAUCAAGGAGAGACCUAGGAGGCAGAUUCAAGGGGUUUUGGAGGUGGAUACACAACAAUAGUUGAGGAAUCAUCAUUGUAAUGUUU